GAUGAACGCUGGCGGCGUGCCUAAUACAUGCCAGUCGAGCGAACAGAUAAGGAGCUUGCUCCUUUGACGUUAGCGGCGGACGGGUGAGUAACACGUGGGUAACCUACCUAUAAGACUGGAAUAACUCCGGGAAACCGGGGCUAAUGCCGGAUAACAUUUAGAACCGCAUGGUUCUAAAGGGAAAGAUGGUUUUGCUAUCACUUAUAGAUGGACCCGCGCCGUAUUAGCUAGUUGGUAAGGUAACGGCUUACCAAGGCAACGAUACGUAGCCGACCUGAGAGGGUGAUCGGCCACACUGGAACUGAGACACGGUCCAGACUCCUACGGGAGGCAGCAGUAGGGAAUCUUCCGCAAUGGGCGAAAGCCUGACGGAGCAACGCCGCGUGAGUGAUGAAGGUCUUCGGAUCGUAAAACUCUGUUAUUAGGGAAGAACAAAUGUGUAAGUAACUGUGCACGUCUUGACGGUACCUAAUCAGAAAGCCACGGCUAACUACGUG
rnacentral:rRNA from 1 species